rnacentral:rRNA from 1 species
GACGAACCGAGCGAACGUUGUUCGGAAUCACUGGGCUUAAAGGGCGCGUAGGCGGGCUGCCGCGUCCGGGGUGAAAUCCCACGGCUCAACCGUGGAACGGCCCCGGGUACGGGCGGCCUCGAGGAAGGUAGGGGCGUGCGGAACUGUGGGUGGAGCGGUGAAAUGCGUUGAUAUCCACAGGAACUCCGGUGGCGAAGGCGGCACGCUGGACCUUUUCUGACGCUGAGGUGCGAAAGCGUGGGGAGCAAACAGG